UACAGAGGGGGCAAGCGUUAUUCGGAAUUAUUGGGCGUAAAGGGUGCGUAGGCGGCCCAGCAAGUUGGAAGUGCAAUCCCGUGGCUUAACCACGGAACUGCUUUCAAUACUACUGGGAUUGAGGUAUAGAGAGGAUAGUGGAACUCCUAGUGUAGAGGUGAAAUUCGUAGAUAUUAGGGGGAACACCGGUGGCGAAGGCGGCUAUCUGGCUAUAUUCUGACGCUGAGGCACGAAAGUAUGGGGAGCAAACAGG
rnacentral:rRNA from 1 species